rnacentral:rRNA from 1 species
AUUGAACGCUGGCGGCAUGCCUUACACAUGCAAGUCGAACGGCAGCACGGGUGCUCGCACCUGGUGGCGAGUGGCGAACGGGUGAGUAAUACAUCGGAACGUACCUUAUCGUGGGGGAUAACGCAGCGAAAGCUGUGCUAAUACCGCAUACGCCCUGAGGGGGAAAGCGGGGGAUCGCAAGACCUCGCGCGAUUAGAGCGGCCGAUGCCUGAUUAGCUAGUUGGUGGGGUAAAAGCCCACCAAGGCGACGAUCAGUAGCUGGUCUGAGAGGACGAUCAGCCACACUGGGACUGAGACACGGCCCAGAUUCCUACGGGAGGCAGCAGUGGGGAAUUUUGGACAAUGGGGGCAACCCUGAUCCAGCAAUGCCGCGUGAGUGAAGAAGGCCUUCGGGUUGUAAAGCUCUUUUGUCAGGGAAGAAACACCGGCUCUAACACAGUCCGGGAAUGACGGUACCUGAAGAAUAAGCACCGGCUAACUACGUGCCAGCAGCCGCCGUAA